rnacentral:rRNA from 1 species
GACGAACGCUGGCGGCGUGCCUAACACAUGCAAGUCGAGCGGCAGCGGGUCGUAGCAAUACGAUGCCGGCGAGCGGCGGACGGGUGAGGAAUACAUCGGAAUCUACCCAGUCGUGGGGGAUAACGUAGGGGAACUUACGCUAAUACCGCAUACGACCUGAGGGUGAAAGCAGGGGACCGCAAGGCCUUGCGCGAGUGGAUGAGCCGAUGUCGGAUUAGCUAGUUGGUGAGGUAAAGGCUCACAAAGGCGACGAUCCGUAGCUGGUCUGAGAGGGUGAUCAGCCACACGGGCACUGAGCCACGGUCCAGACUCCGACGGGAGGCAGCGGUGGGGAGUAUUGGACAAUGGGCGCAAGCCUGAUCCAGCCAUGCCGCGUGUGUGAAGAAGGCCUUCGGGUUGUAAAGCACUUUUGUCCGGGAAGAAAUCUUCCGAACUAAUACGUCGGGAGGAUGACGGUACCGGAAGAAUAAGCACCGGCUAACUUCGUGCCAGCCGCCGCAGUAA